rnacentral:lncRNA from 1 species
CUUACCAAUGCAUCUAAAGAUUCAACAAUGUAGAAUCCAGCACCAGUAUUGGGACUACAAAUUGUUUCUUCAUUCCUCCGUGUUGCACUGUAGGUGAUAAGGGGUCGAGGUCGUAUGUUCGUCGUGUCAUCAAUACACAUCACUUUCCUUUUCCUUUUCCCUUUUUCUGCUCUUGCAUUUAUUUCUUCUUCGCGCACCUUUCUGUCUACUGCUUUAAUAUGGUUCUGAUUGGUGCCCUGCAUAUUCCAAGAUAUAUGGAUUUUGGUCGAGACAAUCAUCACAUAAGUAAAAUGCUAUCAACCUCUCAAUUUCUGAAUGGAUUUGUUAAAUUGCCUUUCUCUUGUUGGAUCACAUACCUGAUUUGUUUGUUGUCCUUGAAGCAAAUACCAUGACAUGAGCUUGAAGAAUUCAAAGAUACAGAAGGUUGACAGAAAGAGGAUACACUGAUUUCAGCUGCGGACACUGAGCUGAGUCUCUACCUAGCAGGUAACUCACCUUUCAACAUAUUCAUUGCAGAAGCAGAAACAACGGGACACAUGACCUGAAUACUUGCAUUCUGACAUGUUUUUGCCCGUGCCUCAAAUAGGAAUGAUGUCCAUGUUGUUAACCUCUACAAGUUACCCACGCUUCAAAUAACCCAAGGUCUGGAACCCCAACAAGUUUAGUACGUAGCAAAUGUAACUUCUUCUCUAACAAAAAUAAUAAUGAGAGGCAUGCUACAGUUAGUUUACCCUGAGAAUUGAUCAUCAUAGAAACGCCGAUGUGUGCUUUGCAAAUCGACUGACCUUUUUUGUCUUCUGUGAAUAGAUGUUGAAUGCUAAUAUAAAUCUGCUAUAUGUCUCAGCAAAAAUGUGGACUUCAUAAUUUGUCUUUCAAUGGUGCAUAGUUCAAUUUUGUCUUCCUAAUUUAUACAGUAUCAGCUCAUAUGACGAUUUAUCUCAUAAAUAAGUAUUCACUCUUACAGCACCACCAUGCAUGUUUUUUACACUUCUGCAGCAGUCCAUCUCUCAAUUUUGAUUUGCAUAACCAUGCAUAUAUAGUGUAUUGAAGCAGCAAAUGGCAUUUACCAUGCUGCUAAAAUAAGCAUCAAAAUUGAAGAGUGUAUUGUACCAGUGGGAGAAGUUAAUGUUCCACGGAAUUGCUAAUCCCGUCUCGAAGGUUUAAUGUUUGUUAUUGACCUAAGAGAAAAUGGGUUCUGCAUCUCUGAUGUGAUGUAUUUCUAACAAACAGUGGCAAAAUGCACGGGUAAUUACUCUUAUAUAGUUUGAUGCUUGAAAAGUUGUAGAGUCGGCGCCUCUCUUCGAAGUGUACAUGAUGUAAUAAGAACAAAAAAUAAAGAAGCAUCUUGAGUACCAUGCCCAGAUACAGUGUUAAUGCCCACAAUUCUAUUUUGUUCCAUUAGAAAAUACAAUUAUAUUUUGUUACAUUCAGGUAAUGUUAUAUCAUGCACGUGUGUUACAUGUGUAUCUCUAUACUUUGUGCUCCAGAUUUGUUUUCCUACAAUAUGGCAGAUUAAUGUAUAUUCUUCUGAAGUCAUAGUACAUUCAUGGUCUGUAUAUAUGUUUGUAUGCUGCCAACCUGAGUCUGGUAGGCAGCGGCUGAUUUUUUUCAUUUGCUAUAUUUAUAUUUUUCAAAGCAAUUUAAUCUCUUAUCUUGCACCCGUGAUGAACCUACAAUCUAGAGCACAAGGAAACUAUAGAUAAUUUGUUCUAUUGCCUUUGUGAACUUGAUAUAUAUACAUGUAUUGUUCGUGGAAACGCAAGGGCAACGCAUGGGCACUCUACUAUAGAUAAGAGAGACAGAGGAGGAUCAGACUGAUUGGUCACUGACUGCUAUUUCUGAUAAUGUCUGUAGUGUAGGUUGAUCAGACUGUACAUACACACACAUACACCCUUAUAGUCGGAGGAUCCACGAAGAGCUAUGGAGGGGAGGGCGAGGCGGCGCGCCAGCCCGUCCGGGACGCGCACCAAGGCAGUCAGGGUGGAGCCGGAGCCGCCACCAACGACCAAGAGGCAUGGGCCAGGGAUGAGGGCGGCGGUGGUGUACUACCUCUGCCGCAGCCACCACCUAGAGCACCCACACUUCAUGGAGGUGACCCUCGCCUCCCCACAAGGCCUCUACCUGCGAGGUUAGUUAGUAAGCUGCAACUGGUGCCUGGUCAGUAGUUUAUUGUAGGAUGAUGACUUACCAUGAAUGAUUGCAAUUUAUUCAGAUGUGAUUGGCUGGCUGGAUGCCCUGAGAGGGAAGGGCAUGGUGGCCAAGUAUUCCUGGUCCUGCAAGAGGUAUGUACAUACAUAUACCCAUCAAUCUCGAGACCUGUCUGUUAUCCGACAAAUAUUGUGUUUAUUCGUAAGGCAUCGAUGCAAUGCAGGAGCUACAAGACUGGAUUCGUGUGGCACGAUCUGUCUGUGGAUGAUCUGCUGCUGCUCACGCAAGGAACAGAGUACGUUCUCAAGGGCUCCGAGUUCCCAUUCGACGAGUCAAAGCCUCUGCCAAUGCCAGGUAUGAAUCAUGAGCAACUGUAAUUUGUUCCUAUUUCGAACUGCUACUUAAUCAUAUCCUACUGUUUUAGAUCAUCAGCAGAAUAAUGCAGUAUGUGCAAAGGUUCAGCCCUGCAAUACACUCUGAUAUUCAUUGCAGAAGCAGAAACAACGGGAUACAUGACCUGGAUACUUGCAUUCUGACAAGUUUUUGCCCGUGCCUCAAAUAGGAAUGAUGUCCAUGCUGUUAACCUCUACAAGUUACCCACACUUCAGAUAACCCAAGGUCUGGAACCCCAACAAGUUUAGUACGUAGCAAAUGUAACUUCUUCUCUAACAAAAAUAAUAAUGAGAGGCAUGUUACCGUUAGUUUUACCCUGAGAAUUGAUCAUCAUAGAAACGCCGAUGUGUGCUUUGCAAAUCGACUGACCUUUUUUGUCUUCUGUGAAUAGAUGCUGAAUGCUAAUAUAAAUCUGCUAUAUGUCUCAGCAAAAAUGUGGACUUCAUAAUUUGUCUUUCAAUGGUGCAUAGUUCAAUUUUGUCUUCCUAAUUUAUACAGUAUCAGCUCAUAUGACGAUUUAUCUCAUAAAUAAGUAUUCACUCUUACAGCACCACCAUGCAUGUUUUCUACACUUCUGCAGCAGUCCAUCUUUCAAUUUUGAUUUGCAUAACCAUGCAUAUAUAGUGUAUUGAAGCAGCAAAUGGCAUUUACCAUGCUGCUAAAAUAAGCAUCAAAAUUGAAGAGUGUAUUGUACCAGUGGGAGAAGUUAAUGUUCCACGGAAUUGCUAAUCCCGUCUCGAAGGUUUAAUGUUUGUUAUUGACCUAAGAGAAAAUGGGUUCUGCAUCUCUGAUGUGAUGUAUUUCUAACAAACAGUGGCAAAAUGCACGGGUAAUUACUCUUAUAUAGUUUGAUGCUUGAAAAGUUGUAGAGUCGGCGCCUCUCUUUGAAGUGUACAUGAUGUAAUAAGAACAAAAAAUAAAGAAGCAUCUUGAGUACCAUGCCUAGAUACAGUGUUAAUGCCCACAACUCUAUUUUGUUCCAUUAGAAAAUACAAUUAUAUUUUGUUACAUUCAGGUAAUGUUAUAUCAUGCACGUGUGUUACAUGUGUAUCUCUCUACUUUGUGCUCCAGAUUUAUUUCCCUACAAUAUGGCAGAUUAAUGUAUAUUCUUCUGAAGUCAUAGUACAUUCAUGGUCUGUAUAUAUGUUUGUAUGCUGCCAACCUGAGUCCGGUAGGCAGCGGCUGAUUUUUUUCAUUUGCUAUAUUUAUAUUUUUCAAAGCAAUUUAAUCUCUUAUCUUGCACCCGUGAUGAACCUACAAUCUAGAGCACAAGGAAACUAUAGAUAAUUUGUUCUAUUGCCUCUGUGAACUUGAUAUAUAUACAUGUAUUGUUCGUGGCAACGCACGGGCAACGCAUGGGCACUCUACUAUAGAUAAGAGAGACAGAGGAGGAUCGGACUGAUUGGUCACUGACUGCUAUUUCUGAUAAUGUCUGCAGUGUAGGUUGAUCAGACUGUACAUACACACACAUACACCCUUAUAGUCGGAGGAUCCACGGAGAGCGAUGGAGGGGAGGGCGAGGCGGCGCGCCAGCCCGUCUGGGAUGCGCACCAAGGCAGUCAGGGUGGAGCCGGAGCCGCCACUGACGACCAAGAGGCAUGGGCCAGGGAUGAGGGCGGCGGUGGUGUACUACCUCUGCCGCAGCCACCACCUAGAGCACCCACACUUCAUGGAGGUGACCCUUGCCUCCCCACAAGGCCUCUACCUGCGAGGUUAGUUAGUAAGCUGCAACUGGUGCCUGAUCAGUUGUUUAUUGUAGGAUGAUGACUUACCAUGAAUGAUUGCAAUUUUUUCAAAUGUGAUUGGCCGGCUGGACGCCCUGAGAGGGAAGGGCAUGGUGGCCAAGUAUUCCUGGUCCUGCAAGAGGUACGUACAUACAUAUACCCAUCAAUCUCGAGACAUGUCUGUUAUCCGACAAAUAUUGUGUUUAUUCGUAAGGCAUCGAUGCAAUGCAGGAGCUACAAGACUGGAUUCGUGUGGCACGAUCUGUCUGUGGAUGAUCUGCUGCUGCUCACGCAAGGAACAUAGUACGUUCUCAAGGGCUCCGAGUUCCCAUUCGACGAGUCAAAGCCUCUGCCAAUGCCAGGUAUGAAUCAUGAGCAACUGUAAUUUGUUCCUAUUUCGAAUUGCUACUUAAUCAUAUCCUACUGUUUCAGAUCAUCAGCAGAAUAAUGCAGUAUGUGCAAAGGUUCAGCCUUGCAAUACACUCUGAUAUUCAUUGCAGAAGCAGAAACAACGGGAUACAUGACCUGAAUACUUGCAUUCUGACAAGUUUUUGGCCGUGCCUCAAAUAGGAAUGAUGUCCAUGUUGUUAACCUCUACAAGUUACCCACACUUCAGAUAACCCAAGGUCUGGAACCCCAACAAGUUUAGUACAUAGCAAAUGUAACUUCUUCUCUAACAAAAUAAUAAUGAGAGGCAUGUUACAAUUAGUUUUACCCUGAGAAUUGAUCAUCAUAGAAACGCUGAUGUGUGCUUUGCAAAUCGACUGACCUUUUUUGUCUUCUGUGAAUAGAUGUUGAAUGCUAAUAUAAAUCUGCUAUAUGUCUCAGCAAAAAUGUGGACUUCAUAAUUUGUCUUUCAAUGGUGCAUAGUUCAAUUUUGUCUUCCUAAUUUAUACAGUAUCAGCUCAUAUGACGAUUUAUCUCAUAAAUAAGUAUUCACUCUUACAGCACCACCAUGCAUGUUUUCUACACUUCUGCAGCAGUCCAUCUUUCAAUUUUGAUUUGCAUAACCAUGCAUAUAUAGUGUAUUGAAGCAGCAAAUGGCAUUUACCAUGCUGCUAAAAUAAGCAUCAAAAUUGAAGAGUGUAUUGUACCAGUGGGAGAAGUUAAUGUUCCACGGAAUUGCUAAUCCCGUCUCGAAGGUUUAAUGUUUGUUAUUGACCUAAGAGAAAAUGGGUUCUGCAUCUCUGAUGUGAUGUAUUUCUAACAAACAGUGGCAAAAUGCACGGGUAAUUACUCUUAUAUAGUUUGAUGCUUGAAAAGUUAUAGAGUCGGCGCCUCUCUUCGAAGUGUACAUGAUGUAAUAAGAACAAAAAAUAAAGAAGCAUCUUGAGUACCAUGCCCAGAUACAGUGUUAAUGCCCACAACUCUAUUUUGUUCCAUUAGAAAAUACAAUUAUAUUUUGUCACAUUCAGGUAAUGUUAUAUCAUGCACGUGUGUUACAUGUGUAUCUCUCUACUUUGUGCUCCAGAUUUGUUUCCCUACAAUAUGGCAGAUUAAUGUAUAUUCUUCUGAAGUCAUAGUACAUUCAUGGUCUGUAUAUAUGUUUGUAUGCUGCCAACCUGAGUCCGGUAGGCAGCGGCUGAUUUUUUCAUUUGCUAUCUUUAUAUUUUUCAAAGCAAUUUAAUCUCUUAUCUUGCACCUGUGAUGAACCUACAAUCUAGAGCACAAGGAAACUAUAGAUAAUUUGUUCUAUUGCCUCUGUGAACUUGAUAUAUAUACAUGUAUUGUUCGUGGCAACGCACGGGCACUCUACUAUAGAUAAGAGAGACAGAGGAGGAUCGGACUGAUUGGUCACUGACUGCUAUUUCUGAUAAUGUCUGCAGUGUAGGUUGAUCAGACUGUACAUACACACACAUACACCCUUAUAGUCGGAGGAUCCACGGAGAGCGAUGGAGGGGAGGGCGAGGCGGCGCGCCAGCCCGUCCGGGAUGCGCACCAAG